AUUGAACGCUGGCGGCAGGCCUAACACAUGCAAGUCGAGCGGAGCGGCGGACGGGCGGGUAAUGCCUAGGUAGCUGCCUGGCAGUGGGGGAGAACGUCCGGCAGGGGGCGCUAAUUCCGCACACUAUCAGACGAGCCUAGGUAGGAUUAGCUAGUUGGUGGGGUAAGGGCCUACCAAGGGGACGAUCCGUAACUGGCUUGAGUGGAUGAUUAGUCACACUGGAACUGGGGAACGGGCCAGGCUCCUACGGGAGGCAGCAGUGGGGAAUAUUGGACAAUGGGCGAAAGCCUGAUCCAGCCCAGCCGCGGGUGUGAAGAAGGGCUUCGGAUUGUAAAGUACUUUAAGUUGGGAGGCGUUACCAACAGAAUAAGCACCGGCUAACUUCGUGCCAGCAGCCGCGGUAAUUC
rnacentral:rRNA from 1 species